rnacentral:rRNA from 1 species
GAUGAACGCUGGCGGCGUGCUUAACACAUGCAAGUCGAACGAAGCACUUAAGAUUGAUUCUUCGGAUGGCGUCUUUUGUGACUUAGUGGCGGACGGGUGAGUAACGCGUGGGUAACCUGCCUCACACAGGGGGAUAACAGUUAGAAAUGACUGCUAAUACCGCAUAACCCGAUAGGAUCGCAUGAUCCAGACGGAAAAGGUUUAUCGGUGUGAGAUGGACCCGCGUCUGAUUAGCUAGUUGGUGAGGUAACGGCCCACCAAGGCGACGACCAGUAGCCGGCCUGAGAGGGUGAACGGCCACAUUGGGACUGAGACACGGCCCAAACUCCUACGGGAGGCAGCAGUGGGGAAUAUUGCACAAUGGGGGAAACCCUGAUGCAGCGACGCCGCGUGAGUGAAGAAGUAUUUCGGUAUGUAAAGCUCUAUCAGCAGGGAAGAAAAUGACGGUACCUGACUAAGAAGCCCCGGCUAACUACGUGCCAGCCGCCGCAGUAA